GAUAGAUGGAGUUGGAGGGAGGGAAAGGAAGUCAUGCCUGUCCAUGGGCCACCUGGCUGCUUGCCACCACUUUUUCUCUCUCUGACCUUGAACACAGGACAUGGAAGAUGAACUGCAUCAGUGAUCAUAUCUUAAGUUGCUUUCCUCUGUCACAUCCAUCUACCAUGAUAUGCUAUCUCAACUUGAAUCCAGAGCAAUGGAGUUGGCCACCUGUGAAUUCAGACUUUUGAAACCAUGAGCCCUCAAAUAAACUUUUCCUCCUUAAAA